rnacentral:misc_RNA from 1 species
AUGAAUGAAUGUAGAGUUGGUUGUAGCUGGCCUCCCUGAGGUAUGUGCACGCCUUCUCUUUCAUCCACACACCCCUGUGCACUUGUGAGACGGAGACGUUUUCCUUUAAUCGGGAUGGUCUCCGUCUGCUAUCACAUAAAAUCUAAUUUAUUAAAACUGAAUGUAAUUGAUGUAACGCAUCUAAUAC